rnacentral:lncRNA from 1 species
GAAAAAAUAUGGCUGAAACUUUUAAAUUUGUUUAUGUUUUAAUUUUAUUUAUUUCCAUAUGUUUUGUCAUAACAAUAUCUGAUUCUCUUAAUUUGGCAGAUUAUUCUUGUAUAAAAGAUAAAGAUUGUCCAAAGGUCAAAAGUUUUAAUAUUAGGUGUCGUAAAGGUUUUUGUGUAAAUAUCCUCUGAAUGAUUUCUCGUGCUAGCAAAAUCAGUGAACAAUGUAUCUAAUGUAGAAUAUUACAUGAGCUUACAUUUAGUUUCAGUGCAUGCAUCGAAUAAUUGUAUUUAUUUCCCUUCUUUUUUUCCCUUAUUUCAUGAAUCUUUUUUUUUUUAGUGAAUUAAUUUCAUGAAUCUUGGAGUUAUGGUUUUUACUCUAAGGAGAUCGGCGAUUGCAAUGAAAUUAAUGAAAUAAGGUACAAAAGAGUUUUAUUUAUAAGAUCAUCUACAACAGAGCACUCUAUUUUAAGUGUUUAAGUGGGUCGUGCAUGUACAUGUCAUCUAUUUUUUUAAUUUUCAAUGAUAUUACUUAAUAAGCAUCCGUUCUCUCCAACCCAGCACUUCAGAAAAAAGAUACUAAAUAAGUCAUUAAUAAUUCAAUGUCAUUGUAUUUCAUUAAAGUUUCUUGAUUUGUGUACAAUUAAUGAUGUAUGGCCCACGAAAAGUAAAGAGAGAGAGUGAUUACAUAGUCACCAUUCUCUAUAAGUACCAAACAUUUUCUCUUCACGAUGGAGGCGCUUAUUUAUUCCGGUGUUAAAUAGGUAAAGCACCAACCAUUGUAGAUGCUCUAAUGUCUCAUUUAGGUGUAAAUUUUGAGGCAUCACCAUAACCUGCAAUUAUGACAUAUCACACGUUUUCUCUAACUCCACCACCUGUACAAAUCACUUUAAUAGGUUAUAACUGUUAACAAGAACAAUGCAAAAUAGAGAAAGAGAUAAUCAAAACGAUAAAGACAACUAGGGUUUCAUAGAAUAACAAUAGCUUAAUAUUACAAAAGGUUAUAAAAGAAUAUAUAAUAAAACCUAAUGGACUCUAACUUGCUAAUAUAAAGGUCCAAUAACUUAAGCCCAAUACUUUAUUAUCUAACAUCUACCCUCAAACUCAAAAUGAGUCAACAAGAAUAUUGUGAGUUUGUCAAACAAAAUAUGAAAAAACAUACUAAAUAAUAUAAAGUUCUUACACUACCCCUCGAGCUGAAGCUUACUAAGUUUUAAGCUUGUUAAAAAUUAACCCAGAAAAAUAAACCAAAUCUGUUGUUAGCAAAACCAAUGGAGAGCAUCAACCAAAGUGAGUUAUCUUCGUAGAGAGAGCAACAAGAGAGAAGCAGUCAUACAUAAGAACCAAUAGAGGCGUAACCAAAGAAUCAUCACAAGUGGGAAAAGUACAAUUAGAAGAAUAAA